rnacentral:rRNA from 1 species
GACGUAGGGUCCAAGCGUUGUCCGGAUUUACUGGGGCGGUAAAGAGCGCGUUAGGCGGUCUGUUUAAGUGUGAAGUGAAAUCUCUAGGGCUCAACCCAGAAACUGCUUUACAUACUGGCAGACUUGAGUGAUGAAGAGGUUUGUGGAAAUUCCUGGUGUAGCGGUGAAAAUGCGUUGAUAUCAGGAGGAACACCCCAUGGCGAAAGGCAGCAAACUGGUCAUCAACUGACGCUGGAGGCGCGAAAAGCGUGGGUAGCAAACAGG